rnacentral:rRNA from 1 species
GAGUUUGAUCAUGGCUCAGGACGAACGCUGGCGGCGUGCUUAACACAUGCAAGUCGAACGGGGUGCCUAUGAAAGAGAUUUCGGUCAAUGGAUUAGGUUACUUAGUGGCGGACGGGUGAGUAACGCGUGAGGAACCUGCCUUUCAGAGGGGGACAACAGCUGGAAACGGCUGCUAAUACCGCAUGACACAUAUUUAUCGCAUGGUAGAUAUGUCAAAGAUUUAUCGCUGAGAGAUGGCCUCGCGUCUGAUUAGCUAGUUGGUAGGGUAACGGCCUACCAAGGCGACGAUCAGUAGCCGGACUGAGAGGUUGGCCGGCCACAUUGGGACUGAGAUACGGCCCAGACUCCUACGGGAGGCAGCAGUGGGGAAUAUUGGGCAAUGGGCGCAAGCCUGACCCAGCAACGCCGCGUGAAGGAAGAAGGCUUUCGGGUUGUAAACUUCUUUAAGUAGGAAGAGCAGAAGACGGUACCUCUUGAAUAAGCCACGGCUAACUACGUGCCAGCCGCCGCAGU